UUUCACCUACGGAAGGAUCAUUGUCGUGACCCUGACCAAAACAGACCGCGCACGCGUCAUCCAAUCCGCCGAUGAUGGAAGCGUCCGUUCCUCGGCCAAGUCCUCGACUGCCUCCCCUCCAUGGAGUGGGGGCUCGGGGUAAAAGAACCCAUGGCGCGGAAGGCGUCAAGGAACACUGUGCCUAACCCAGGGGCAUGGCUAGCUUGCUAGUCGUCCCCCGUGUUGCAAAGCUAUUUAAUCCACACGACUCUCAGCAACGGAUAUCUCGUUUCUC
rnacentral:misc_RNA from 1 species